rnacentral:lncRNA from 1 species
AUUAAAUAACAGUUUCGGCUUCAAAAAUGGAUUUCACAAAAGGGUCAAGAUGGGAGAAUAUAAAUCUGAAUGAAGCAUAUAUCCUGUCCCAAUGGGUUUACAAGUCUGAGAAGAGACACAUGCAAAGGAGCACACACUAAGACAGAAAGGAGACAUUUUCAAGAAACCAAGAUGAGUUCAACAUGACUACAGCAUAAAGCUAACUGGGACUGGAAAAGAGUUAAGGCUAGAAGUUUGAAGGAGUUGACAUGAGAGAGCUGGUGUAUGCCAUGCUAAAAUAAUUAUUUUAGGGAAUAGUGGGCACAUAUCUGUGAAGGUGGUUUGGGUCUAGAUUAUGGAGAGUCUU